ACAUGCCUACAACAUAGCGCUAAUGCACCAUAUCCCAUUGAAACUCUGCAGUUAAGCACGCUCAGGCUAGAGUAGAAUUGGGCUGGGUGACCGCUUGAGAAGUCCUAGUGCUUUACAUGCC
rnacentral:rRNA from 1 species